ensembl:lncRNA
CUAUGGGGCUGGGAUGCUGCAGUGUCCCCAAAGCACUCCCCGGUGUGACACACGAAGCCCCACAGCCGCUCCUCUUCCUGCUAUUCACGUAGGGGGGGCAUCCCCCAACCCCCCGUUAUCACGAAAUAAACCUUAAUCCCAAAAAUAAAGGGUGCCCCCCGCCCUCACCCCAUGGGAACAGUGCGGUCUGCAAUGGGGGGCGCACAGAAUGGGUCCCCAGAGGGGGGUCCCCAACUUUGGGAUGUGACGCCAUGGUGUAAACGUGGGGGCACUCCCACCUCUGGGACAGACCCCAACUUUGGGGUGUAACAUGUGGGGGUGUCCCCAACUUUGGGGUGUGACACUGUGGUGUGUCCCCAACUUUGGGGUCUGACACCAUCGGGGGGACACAGAGAUGCCCCAACUUUGAGGUGUGACACAGUGACGCGGUGUCCCCACUUCCCCUGGGAAGUCCUCAAGCUGCUCACAGUGUCCCCAACUUUGACGCAAUGCCCCCAGGGGGGUCCUUUUAUCCCCUCAUAGGACAGUGGGAGGCUCAGUGGCAGCACCCCCUGGACACCCCAAGACACUUCUGGGACAUCUUCAGACCCUUCCAGAAGACAACAGGACCCUCUGAACCCACCAAAGGACCCCCCAGACCCUCCAAGUCCUCUCUGGGCCAUCCCCAGACCCUUCUGGAUGGCUCCAGGACCCCCCAGACCCACACGAGCACCCCCUGGACACCCCAAGACACUCCUGGGACAUCUUCAGACCCUUCCAGAAGACAGCAGAACCCACCUAAGGACCCCCCGGACCCUCCAAGUCCUCUCUGGGACAUCUCCAGACCCUUCUGGAUGGCUCCAGGACCCCCCAGACCCACAUGAACACUCCCUGGACACUCCAAGACACUCCUGGGACAUCCCCAGACCCUUCUGGAUGACUGCAAGGAUGCCCUGGACACACCUGGGGACCACCUGCACCCAACAGGGACCUUCUUGGACAUCUCCAGACCCUUCUGGAUGAAUCCAUGGACCCCAUGGAUCAACAGGAGGACCCCCUGUACCCUCCAAGGCCUCUCUGGGACACCCCCAAACUUUCUGGAUGGCUCCAUGACACCCCAGAC